rnacentral:rRNA from 1 species
UACGAAGGGGGCUAGCGUUGCUCGGAAUCACUGGGCGUAAAGGGUGCGUAGGCGGGUCUUUAAGUCAGGGGUGAAAUCCUGGAGCUCAACUCCAGAACUGCCUUUGAUACUGAAGAUCUUGAGUUCGGGAGAGGUGAGUGGAACUGCGAGUGUAGAGGUGAAAUUCGUAGAUAUUCGCAAGAACACCAGUGGCGAAGGCGGCUCUCUGGGACGGUACUGACGCUGA